rnacentral:sRNA from 1 species
GCAUCCAUUCGAAGGAGAUCUUCCAUUCUUUGACGAUUUCUUUCUCUCGAUGCUGGGAAUUUCUUCUCUGGAUGGAUCCAUCUAACUAUGGCGGAAUCAAAGGAAAAGUUUCAUCUCGUAUUCACUGCGGACUGCAAGACUCCCAGAAAGCAGGGGGAGCAGAGGAUGAGCAGGAAAAUGAGGACGAUGAGGAGGAAAGAGAUGGGGAGGAGGAGGAAGAGGCGGAGGAAUCCAACGUGGAGGAUUUACUGGAAAACAACUGGAACAUUUUGCAGUUUUUGCCACAGGCAGCCUCCUGCCAGAACUACUUCCUCAUGAUUGUUUCAGGUAAGCCCAGAGCCCAGGGCUGCGCAGCCCCCACUGAAGGGACUCAUGGUUAGUAGAUGCGGCUCCUGUGCCAUGGUAUCGCAAGAAGGGAGACGGGGGAAAAUCAGAUUGGGCGGAGCCUGCCCAGCAGUUGGGACUUUGUGAGCCGAGGGGCCUCCUCUCCAGGCUCCAGGCAUGUUCCACUGGAGGGCCCGGAGAGGGGUGACUGUCUUCCCU